UGCAUUUUUUUACCAUUUUCUAAACAUGGCAUUAUCUCCCUUCUAUAUAAAAUUUCAAUUCAAUUUCAUAAUCACUUUUGGCCAUUUCUCAUAAAACUCACUCAAAAUUCAAAUUCUAUCUCAAAAGUUUUCUCCUCUCACAAAAGCAAAAGUCACAAAUUCAUUCCUUCCUCCCUCAAAGGAUUUCAGGUCAACCCCCCACCGCCGGCUACCACCCUCUACCAGACCUGCCUCCAUCUCGGUCGACCUCUGACGAGCGCCAAUCUCCCCGUGCUUCCGACUAAUUCACCCUCGCUACACCUGAAUCCCUCCUCUUCCUCCUCCCAUUGCACCUCCCUCAGUCGCUUGGACAUACUCCUUCCGUCUUGA